rnacentral:rRNA from 1 species
CUCCUCCUACGGGAGGCAGCAGUGGGGAAUAUUGCACAAUGGGGGGAACCCUGAUGCAGCGACGCCGCGUGAGUGAAGAAGUAUUUCGGUAUGUAAAGCUCUGUCAGCAGGGAAGAAGAAAGACGGUACCUGACCAAGAAGCCCCGGCUAACUACGUGCCAGCAGCCGUGGUAAUACGUAGGGGGCAAGCGUUAUCCGGAUUUACUGGGUGUAAAGGGGGCGUAGACGGCAGUGCAAGUCUGAAGUGAAAGGCAAGGGCUCAACCCUUGGACUGCUUUGGAAACUGUGCUGCUGGAGUGUCGGAG